ACCUCCUUACAAUCCACCAGCCAUCGGUCUGGUUUGGAGCAGCUCUUAGAGACGGAGAGAGGUUCCCAGAGGAGAACGGAGCGGGACGCACCGUUUGUAGAAGGAAACAGUGCCGCAGUGAGGAACAAGACUAGAGAAACUGAAGAAGGAGAUUUUGCCUCACUUGGAAUUGUUGGACUUUCUAGGGGUGGCUUUUUUGCCUGGGAAUGUCAAUGGCAAGAUGCCUCUGCUGAUAUAAGCUCUAGAGAUCAGCUCUCUGCUGGCUGAUGCAGAGUUUAGUUCUGGUUUACAUCAGGUUGUGCUUUGAGAAGAUGUUCAUGUGACAUAACACUGUAUCUUUCCUCCCUUUACUUCAUGUUCUGUUUCUCUUAAAUAUUUUCCUUGGAGUGAAAUGAUAAAUAUUUAAGAAAUCAGUUGCACUUGGAGACUUCUGAGCUUUCUCUGUUUGUUCUGAGAAGAUGCUGAUGCCAAGCAGUACUGGGCUCUGUUUACAAAACAAACCACGACCACAACAAAGACUCGUGAAAGAAAAAAAGGUGAGGAAAGGAAGAGUGAGAGACAACGUAUUUCUGUUCCUGAAAGCUGCUUUGCAUUUCCCUAGCACCUUUCUUCCCAGUGUUUCAGGGCACAUCACAAGCAUUAGUCAUGGCUCACACUGGAUUUGGGAGAGGAGUGAGGCAAUUCCUGUCACGCUUCGGAGAACGAGUCUCCAGGAUAUCUAUAACCCAGGAGACAGGCAAGUCCUUCCCGCAGUGGGGUUGCUGGUCACUGCUGUAUGUUCAGAGAGCCCGUUUUAUGGGUUGCUGAACUGGGGCUCCUGGAUAAAUCCUGCAGAGAAUCUUUAUGAAGCUAAACCAGGAAAGGUUUUGCCGUCAAGAAAAGAGCAUCAGUACAAUUAGUUUCAUUAACUUCAGUUUUCAAGUAAUCUUCAUUUCAGCUGGAAAAGGAAGGAAUUCAGUUAGGGCUGGGAUAUCAAGUGUGAAAUCUUUCCUCUGUUGAAGGCAGUAGGAGCAUUGCUAUUGACGGUUGGAGCCAGGCUCUUUCCCAGAAGUAGAUAUUAAUGAUAAGAGCAAGAGAUUUCAUCCAAGUCACUUCAGUAGCAAAUCUGGCAUGUUUGAGAGGACUCUGCGGGAGGGGAGACAAAGGCUCUGUCAUUACCAAUAUCCCUACUCAUGUUUUUAGAGAAUAAAUACAUCUUUUCCUGGCAAUGGGUGUAUUGACUCUGUCUGGCUCAUUGCUCAACUGGUCACUCUGCGACAGGCUGUGCUCCCUUCCCCAAUGUUUUGUAUUCAGACAUCUCAGCUCAUAUUCAUCAGCUAUAGGAGAGGGAUUACUUCCUGCGGUAUUUUAUGGCUAGAAUAUUUUGUAUUUUGAAGUAUGAGUAUCUCCCUGACUCAUGUAGGACAAACCCACCAUAUCUCUGUUAUUAAAGCUACUCCUCCUUGGGAAAGGAAUGGGCGUGGUGUGUAGAACAUGAGAGAGAGAUAUCACUGUGUGACUACCUGGCUCCUUUCUGUACCUUCUACGGGGACAAGGCAUAAGCAUUUGUCACUGAUGAUGCUGCAGCUUGUUGCUGUUGGGUGAUGUUUUCCAGAAGGAGUGAUAAACAGGAAGAUCUCUGAAUGAUGUGGUCAUACCAGGUGUGAGAUGGAUAUGCAUUGUGUAUGGUCAGCAGCAGAGAAUCAAAGAAUAUCCUGAGUUGGGAAGGACCCACGAGGAUCAUCAAGUCCAGCUUGUCUCUGUUGGAGUCCUGUAGUUCAAAUACUUCAAUAAGUUCCAUGUAGACUAACAGUAUCCUGGGACUGAUACAGGUUGAUGCCUAGACUGGAUAAAGAGGAAAAAUCCAAGCACGUGGUUUCCAGAAUUCACUGGCUGGUGAGAAUCAAAACAUCUCCUGAUUUGCCUGAGGAUCUUAAUUUUUUUGGAAGAUAUUUAAUGGGAAAAGGAAGAAAAAUACAGAUACUUCACAGAGAAUAUAGACAGAAAAGAAGAGCAGGAUGGGGGGAGUGUGGAAGUAGGUCAGAUGCAUUGCAGACAAAAAAAAUCAUUAUUAUGAUUAGGAGAGAUUAAGGAAGGCAAGAGCAAACAGCAUCAAAGGAAUCCAAUUUAUCAAGCCAUUUAAACAAGAGCGUUCCUUGCAAAGCAAGUUCUCCAUACUGCACAUCAAUUUGGAGCAAAAUGAGAGGAGACUGUCCCACACUAUAUAUCUAAUUCAAGAGCUAGUCUUCUCUAAAUUAAUCCAUGAAGAAACCUGUUUUAAUUGUCGUGAGGAACAAACACUGCAGAACUGCUGCCCACCUUCCUUGCUUGAGUUCUUUCAGCUCUUUCAUUUUUCAAGCUCUAAUUACCACUUGGAGCUGCAGGUGAGGGAUGCACUGGGGGGAUGGCAGUGCUGCCUGACAGCACUCAAUCAAUCCCUGCUGCAGCACAGCAGGUGCUUCACAUGAAAUAAGGAGAGUCUCAGCUCCAAGAUUUCAUAUAAAAGGCAAUUUAUAAGGGUGAAGUUAUUUCAUCUGAGGACAUUAAGAAAGUUGACAAUGACAAGUAGAUUUUGUUGCUUAACUUUUGGGCAAUGAGGAGCCUGGGAGAUGUGACCAGAUGUGACUCAGUCUCCUUUUCUGCCCCUUUUUUUUGGUUUUGAUGAGCUUCUCUGUCCCAUGUGCCAUAACAGCAGGGAUGUGGAUUUUGAGUUGGAUGGGGUUUGCUUGCCUUGUUUGUAUCAGAAAUACUGAAUUCUGAAAACUGUAAGCUCUGUAAAACAGAACGUUCUUCUCCUCCAGCAUGUUUUGGGUUUUUUUUGAUGUACCAAAGAGACUUAAUGGUAAACAUAGGCAGUGCCUCUUCAUUUGCAAGAGGCCUUUUGUAAGACAGAUCCUGUGCUCCAUGAAUUCUGUUGUAAUUGAGAUUUUGGGGCCUGUGAGACAGACCUUGUGCUGGAUGAAUUCUCUGACUUCACCCCAAGCUGGAGUGCUCCUUGCAUGUUUUUAUCAUUGGCUUGGGUCCUCCAGACAGAAACCACAACCUCUGAGCUGUUUGACAGAGCUCAAAUGUUUCUUAGCAGGAGCAAGCUGUCAGAAAUUUGAACAAGAUGUUGAUGUCUCUUAGCAGUGGGUUAAACACUGGCUGAACAUCUGAAAUCUCAGAGCUCUGCUGCCAGGGCUGGUUGUGCAACCUGAACCAGGCCCUGCAGAACUGCUGACUCGAGCCAGAGUGGGGGGAAAGUUUGGCAUUUUAGAAGUUUUUCAUUAACAACACAUUUUAUGCCACUCAUUAGUUGCCUAUUCAGGAGGAACUGGGGGCUGAAGAAUGCUGAAAUUUCCAAGUAUUGGUUCCCCAUCCAGCUGAAGUUACAGCUGGAGCAUCCUCAGCCUUCCAAGACAAGAAGUCGAUUCUUUUCUGCUGCUUUUGCAGUGAUUUGGGGCAGUACAAACCCAGCCUGAGUGAGCUCCUUUGUUCCUGGCUGGCUGUCACAUUGUCACUCUGGCAGGGUCACCCUUCAGGUCCAGGCACUGCCACAACUCUGCUCUUUGUACAGCAGAUAUUUCUGAGAUUGAGGGAAAUAACCUGACUCUCCUUUGUUUGGGCAACAGAGUAAGUGUGUGGGGAAAAUCUCAUCCCCAGUCUUGUCUUGAACCUCUUCCAAAGAUUGGCAUAAAUGUGGAAGCAAGAUAUUCAUCUUUUUAUCUUGAUGAAACUCCAGAUCCUGAUGUUUUUAUGCAUGUUAAAGGCUUCCUUCAAGUCUUGCUGCCACAGCU